CUCCCGGUAAACAGAAUGAAUAAUACAAGAGGUCUCUUUAAUUUGUGUUAGAAAGGACGUGCCUGUUGAACUCGUGGUUAAUGCUCAAGAUAUUUGCUUUUUUACUUUGCCGUUGAACACUAACUUACUUAAUCAACUUACAGUCGUGUACAUCUUUUUACCCUCCUAUAGUUAACUCACAAAUACGCGUUCAAAUCAGAGAUGCCUCCCAGUGCCAAGUUCACAAAUUGUGUGCAUAGUACGGCUCCUUUCACACCCUGAGUCUAGGAACACUUCCCAUGCUCCUCAGGAAGUAGUUCAUAUGUAGGUAGAAAUAUGAGUCGUUUUUUUCUUGUUCGUACGUAACCUCAGCUUGUUCUUUGUAUCGAAACUAUUGAACGAUAAGCAUUUUAUCAUGAGCAUUUUAUUAUGAGACACAUUUUAUAUGCGAGAUAUAUGAAGGACAAUACGAGUGUAUUAUUCCGCGAGGCCCCGUCAGGGAGGGUGUCACGGCGCCAUGCCAGUGUGACUCUAGCCGUCGGCAGGGGAACUUUGAAGAUUGUGAUCUACGCUUGUUGUUAAGCCUUUGAAAUGGCAGCUUUUACCUUCACAAGCUUGAAGUUUGACACUAUUUCUUCUCUUGAUGAUUUCCUCUUCUUGCACAAAAGGAAUUUCAUCGGCGGUAUAUCAGACUCAACAAGACACAGGUUAGUAGAAGUGUUUUUCCUUGCCCCAACAAGACUUUUUACUCAUUGAUUGUAGUGACUCAUCACCUUGAUAUUUGAGAUUAGCCAAGUCUCAGAACUAUGCAGUAGGGAAGACAAAACUGCAGCAUUAAAUACUCUCAUUUUGUACACAUAUGUCAUAAUAGAGUUCACGCAGGGAAGCCACAGAACGCCUGACUUUUGAUCUCUCUAAAAUUUUUGAUUGGGGUAGAGCCAACUUGGUAUUGUUCAGUGCAUCAAAAACUCAAUUCCUCCAU